rnacentral:rRNA from 1 species
GCUGGCGGCACGCCUAACACAUGCAAGUCGAACGAAGUAGCAAUACUUAGUGGCAGACGGGUGAGUAACAUGUGGGUAUCUGCCCUUUGGCCUGGAAUAACACGAGGAAACUUGUGCUAAUACCGGAUAAGUCUUUACAGAGAAAGCUUUAUGCACCAUUGGAUGAGCCCGCACUUGAUUAGUUUGUUGGUAGGGUAAUGGCCUACCAAGACUGUGAUCAAUAGCUGAUUUGAGAGGAUGAUCAGCCACAUUGGGACUGAGACACGGCCCAAACUCCUACGGGAGGCAGCAGUGGGGAAUCUUGCACAAUGGAGGAAACUCUGAUGCAGCGAUGCCGCGUGAGUGAAGAAGGCCUUUGGGUUGUAAAGCUCUUUCGUCGGGGAAGAAAAUGACUGUACCCGAAUAAGAAGGUCCGGCUAACUUCGUGCCAGCAGCCGCGGUAAUACGAAGGGACCUAGCGUAGUUCGGAAUUACUGGGCUUAAAGAGUUCGUAGGUGGUUGAAAAAGUUGGUGGUGAAAUCCCAGAGCUUAACUCUGGAACUGCCAUCAAAACUUUUCAGCUAGAGUAUGAUAGAGGAAAGCAGAAUUUCUAGUGUAGAGGUGAAAUUCGUAGAUAUUAGAAAGAAUACCAAUUGCGAAGGCAGCUUUCUGGAUCAUUACUGACACUGAGGAACGAAAGCAUGGGUAGCGAAGAGGAUUAGAUACCCUCGUAGUCCAUGCCGUAAACGAUGUGUGUUAGACGUUGGAAAUUUAUUUUCAGUGUCGCAGCGAAAGCGAUAAACACACCGCCUGGGGAGUACGACCG